UACCCCCUGCCGUGCAAGUGAUUGAUAGAUGCUCUUUGUCCCAACUAUAGCAGGACGGGAGCUGUCUCUGGCUCUGGUGUGCAGGUUCCGCAUGGACGGAAAAGCCUAAAAGAGCCACACGGCGCCCACCUUGUUUACCAUGGUCAAAGACCUGGCAACACGGCACAAAGGCAGGGGGAUU
rnacentral:other from 1 species